CCCACUUUGAGAAAAAAUAUGAACAGAAAGCUACACUGGCAUGGACAAGGCAAGAAAGAUGCCUAGGGACAAGAUGGGCAGGCCAGCCACUCCCUCUCUCCAGGCUGCACUAUUGAUAGAGGCUUUCUCUGGUCUACCACCCUCUUCUAAGUACCCCACAGAGGCAGCCUCAGGAGAACCAGUUUCCAUGCCCCAUCACCUUGGAGGAACCAUCUCCUUAGAUUUCAGGCUACUGGGUUGACCUGAAAUGUGAUUCUUCUGACAAGUUCAAGGAAAGUGGCAAGGCAAAGGACAGAUGACUGAAAU